GUGCUUACUUCAGCAACACAUAUCCAGAAUUGGAACAAUACUGAGAAGGUUAGCAUGGCCCCUGCGCAAGGAUGACACACAAAUUUGUGAGGCGUCCCAUGAUAGA